UCGAGAAUUUUUCACAAUGGGCGAAAGCCUGAUGGAGCGACGCCGCGUGGGGGAUGAAUGGCUUCGGCCCGUAAACCCCUGUCAUUUGCGAACAAACCUUCUGACCUAACACGUCGGGAGCUGAUUGUAGCGAAAGAGGAAGGGACGGCUAACUCUGUGCCAGCAGCCGCGGUAAUACAGAGGUCCCAAGCGUUGUUCGGAUUCACUGGGCGUAAAGGGUGCGUAGGUGGCGGGGUAAGUUUGAUGUGAAAGCUCCGAGCUCAACUCGGAAAUGGCAUUGAAUACUAUUCUGCUUGAGGGUUGGAGGGGGGACUGGAAUUCUCGGUGUAGCAGUGAAAUGCGUAGAUAUCGAGAGGAACACCAGUGGCGAAGGCGAGUCCCUGGACAACUCCUGACACUGAGGCACGAAAGCUAGGGGAGCAAACAGGAUUAGAUACCCCCGUAGUCC
rnacentral:rRNA from 1 species